CUUUAGCAAUUUAUUCAGAAUGAACAUUUAUGCCCGAAAGUUAAUGUCAACGAGUGAAUCAUAAAGGGUACGCAACACGAGUACAUAUUAUUACAUGCUCGAGUUAACUAUACCGUAUAAUCGCGGUUUUAUCAACAAAACCGUGGUAAUUCUGUUAAUAUAGAUAACCGACAAAAUGAAAAGUAUUUCCCAUUGCAAAGUGUCGUCUAGUAAAAACACUAUAAAACGACGUAUUUGUCACGUAUGCGAUUAAAUUUAGAAUUAUUAUUAUUCAUAAUAUUCUGUGUGUCAUACCAUUCACAAUAGUGUUAUCUUACUAAAAGAGCAUCAGUAAACUCUUACCAACUCGAAACGGACGGUUACAACGUUCACUAAACAGUAAGCAGUUUACUAGGAAGAGUAACCGGGCAGGUUACAGUGAUUAAUUCGCAAAAACGUUGUCAGUGAACAGUUUACACGCGGUUACAACGCUCAAAAAAACGUCUAAUUAAUAACCAAUCGAGGCGAUUUUAAGAAAAAUAAAAUAACACCUAACCUAACUUAACCUAGACAAUUAUAAGACAGUAACCAACUAAUGAUAGUAGCCAUUUUUCGCACAA